CUCGGCUCAAGACGCCGGGGAACUUUGGAACGCAUGUGCCUUUCUAAAGGGACCGCAACUUGUGUGGGCGUCCUUAGAGACGAAGCAUGGUUGGCAGGCAAUAAGGCUUGACAGAAGAUGCGACGGGGCCGGUGUUUUAUCAGAUGGCUGGGGACAGGAAUGGCCGUCGUCUAUUUGCUAAACGUGGUCUGGGGCCAGGACACAGACGACUGGCAAUAUGAGGAGUGCAAGUUGUCCCGGCCCGGCCCCCCAGCGACUAUAGUGACCAUCGACGAGGAAAGCCCCAACGGUACGUCACGACCUUAACCUGACCUUGACUUGCUUUUCCUAGGCUGCUUUUCCUGUGUCUUUUUUUUGUUUUUGUUUUUUUGUUUUUUGGCUAAGGACGAAUACCUUAGGUCAGGGGUCACCAACCUUUUUGAAAGCAAGAGCUACUUCUUGGGUAGUGAUUAAUGCGAAGG